rnacentral:snRNA from 1 species
AUACUGUGGUUUCUCUUCAGAUCACAUAAAUUUUUUACCUUUUACUAAAGAUUUCCACGGAGAGGAACAACUCAGAGCUUUCAAUUAAUUUUUGAGGACUUGCCCUGCCUUGGUAGGGC